rnacentral:rRNA from 1 species
AUGUGUUUUUGCUGGGUAUUCCUCGGUUUGAGCUAUAUAUGUUUAAUGUAUGUCGUCUGUGUGUGUUUGAUGUUGAUGUCGCUUGUGGUUUUGCAGGGUUCUGAGGCUGCAACCUGGGCACAGGUACUGCCUCCUCGGCCAGCUCUCCAAGGAGGUCGGAUGGAACUACGCUCACACCAUCAGAUCUGUAGAAGCUGCCGGCACCGCCGCUACCGCUGCCGCUGUUGUAGGUGGAACAGGAAGAAGCCCUCAUGGCUGCUGCACAUCCAAAGUGGCGAGCCCCACCCAAUGUUUUUGGGUUGCGACUUGAUGGUCAUGUUGCUGUUUUGCUCUGCUUGA